CUUAAGUGGGGAAUAACGCAUCGGAACGUGCCCAGUAGUGGGGAAUAACGCAUCGAAAGAUGUGCUAAUACCGCAUAAUCUCUGAGGAGGAAAGCAGGGGAUCGAAAGACCUUGUGCUUUUAGAGCGGCCGAUGCCUGAUUAGCUAGUUGGUAAGGUAAAGGCUUACCAAGGCAACGAUCAGUAGCUGGUCUGAGAGGACGACCAGCCACACUGGGACUGAGACACGGCCCAGACUCCUACGGGAGGCAGCAGUGGGGAAUUUUGGACAAUGGGCGCAAGCCUGAUCCAGCCAUGCCGCGUGAGUGAAGAAGGCCUUCGGGUUGUAAAGCUCUUUCGGUCGGGAAGAAAUAGUUAUGGCUAAUAUCCAUAAUGAAUGACGGUACCGACAUAAGAAGCACCGGCUAACUACGUGCCAGCAGCCGCGGUAAUACGUAGGGUGCAAGCGUUAAUCGGAAUUAUUGGGCGUAAAGGGUGCGCAGGCGGAUGUAUAAGUCAGAUGUGAAAUCCCUGGGCUUAACCUAGGAAUUGCGUUUGAAACUAUAUGACUAGAGUGUGAUAGAGGGGAGUGGAAUUCCAUGUGUAGCAGUGAAAUGCGUAGAGAUGUGGAAGAACACCGAUGGCGAAGGCAGCUCCCUGGAUUAACACUGACGCUCAUGCACGAAAGCGUGGGGAGCAAACAGGAUUAGACACCCUGGUAGUCCACGCCCUAAACUAUGUCGACUAGUUGUUGGGGGAGUCUGUCCCUCAGUAACGUAGCUAACGCGUGAAGUCGACCGCCUGGGGAGUACGGUCGCAAGAUUAAAACUCAAAGGAAUUGACGGGGACCCGCACAAGCGGUGGAUUAUGUGGAUUAAUUCGAUGCAACGCGAAGAAACCUUACCUACCCUUGACAUGCCAGGAACCCCGCAGAGAUGUGGGGGUGCCCGAAAGGGAACCUGGACACAGGUGCUGCAUGGCUGUCGUCAGCUCGUGUCGUGAGAUGUUGGGUUAAGUCCCGCAACGAGCGCAACCCUUGUCACUAAUUGCCAUCAUUAAGUUGGGCACUUUAGUGAGACUGCCGGUGACAAACCGGAGGAAGGUGGGGAUGACGUCAAGUCCUCAUGGCCCUUAUGGGUAGGGCUUCACACGUAA
rnacentral:rRNA from 1 species